UUCUAAAAAAAUUAUUAAUUAAUAAUUAAAAAUAAAAUUUUAUUAAUUAAUCAAAUAAAAAAUUUAAAUUACAAAGAAAAAAAAGACCUAAAACCCCUAUCUCUUUCUCUCGGAUUCCCUCUCCCCCCUCUCUCUUUUUCUGAAGCUUUCUCUCUCUCUCUCUCUCAUGCCUCACCUCUACCAAGAACAAUGGACGUCGUACCAGUCUUCGAUGGUGACACGCACUGCACAAGCGGCAUUCCAAGCAUCCAAAACCCCCAGCCUCCCUAGCUCUCCUCCACACUCGUCGUUCGCUGCCACAACAAUCCAGACGAUGGUCGACCGUCACCAUGGGUUCCUAGGAGUUCCUCGGCGUCUGGUGACCUUCGAAUGUGGAUCUAUCUACAUGUUUUGACUCAGCACACAAUACGGAACAAAACCCGCAUGGAGAUCGGACCCAAAAGUCGCCAGUGGUGCUCGUCAGUGUCACUAAGUUUUGUGGCUUUUGGGACACGUUCCAACCGCCACUGUAAAGGAAACUAGAAUGUUCGUGGUGAUAUUGAUGAGGAUGAGUUUUUGCAAAGGGAAGAAGAAGUUGCUUGAAGGAUCCAUCAUCACGUCAAGUUAUGAUAUUAUGGGGUUCCAUUGUUAACACAAGUAAUUAUUAUUAGAUCUCGUAGUUUUGUAUUAUAAAUGUGAUACGAUUGAUUAUUUAUAUUUGUUCCAAAAUUUAUUUUUUUUAAUUUGUAACUAUAUCAUUGAAUGUACUAGUUUUGUUAUUUUAAUCUAUAAAUUUUUGGAUUUGUAUAUAAA